rnacentral:tRNA from 1 species
GGCGGCGUAGCCAAGCGGUUAAGGCGGGGGUCUGCAAAACCCCUAUUCAGCGGUUCGACUCCGCUCGCCGCCUCCA